AUGACGCACGUCCUAGUUCACCUAUGCGAAGAGAUUAACGUUUUGGGUCCUGUAUUUCUACACAAUAUGUUCCCCUUUGAGAGGUUCAUGGGAGUCUUAAAGAAAUAUGUUCAUAAUCGUGCUAGGCCAAAAGGAAGCAUCUCCAAGGGCCAUCAAAAUGAGGAGGUCAUUGAGUUUUGUAUUGACUUUAUUCCUGAUCUUAAGCCGAUUGGUGUUCCUGAAUCGCGGCAUAAGGGCAGACUGGAUGGAAAAGGCACGCUAGGAGGGGAACAAAUAAUAUGUAUGGACGGACAUUCUCUCACUGAAGCACACCACACAGUUCUACAGAAUUCCACCUUGGUGGCUCCGUAUAUGGAUGAACACAAGAAUUUGCUACGCUCCAAACACCCGGAUCGGUCUGAUGACUAG
rnacentral:rRNA from 1 species